rnacentral:rRNA from 1 species
UCAGAUUGAACGCUGGCGGCAGGCCUAACACAUGCAAGUCGAACGGUAACAGGAAGAAGCUUGCUCUUGCUGACGAGUGGCGGACGGGUGAGUAAUGUCUGGGAAACUGCCUGAUGGAGGGGGAUAACUACUGGAAACGGUAGCUAAUACCGCAUAACGUCGCAAGACCAAAGAGGGGGACCUUCGGGCCUCUUAGCCAUCGGAUGUGCCCAGAUGGGAUUAGCUAGUAGGUGGGGUAACGGCUCACCUAGGCGACGAUCCCUAGCUGGUCUGAGAGGAUGACCAGCCACACUGGAACUGAGACACGGUCCAGACUCCUACGGGAGGCAGCAGUGGGGAAUAUUGCACAAUGGGCGCGAGCCUGAUGCAGCCAUGCCGCGUGUAUGAAGAAGGCCUUCGGGUUGUAAAGUACUUUCAGCGGGGAGGAAGGGAGUAAAGUUAAUACCUUUGCUCAUUGACGUUACCCGCAGAAGAAGCACCGGCUAACUCCGUGCCAGCAGCGGC